ACCUUCGUGGUGUAGUGGUCAGCACGCUCGACGCGUAACCGAGAGGUCCGUGGUUCGAUUCGCGGCGAAGGCG
rnacentral:tRNA from 1 species